CCUACGGGAGGCAGCAGUGGGGGAUAUUGCACAAUGGGGGAAACCCUGAUGCAGCGAUGCCGCGUGAAUGAAGACGGCCUUCGGGUCGUAAAGUUCUGUCGCAGGGGACGAAAAUGACGGUACCCUGCAAGAAAGCUCCGGCUAACUACUUGCCAGCAGCCGCGGUCAUACGUAGGGAGCAAGCGUUGUCGGGAAGUACUGGGUGUAAAGGAAGCGUAGGCGGGAGGAUAAGUUGAAGGUGAAAUCUAUGGCUUCAACCGAUAGCUGCGUUCGAAACUGUUCGUCUUGAGUGAAGUAGAGGCAGGUGGAAUUCCAAGUGUAGCGGUGAAAUGCGUAGAUAUUAGGAGGAACACCAGUGGCGAAGGCGGCCUGCUGGUCUGUUACUGACGCUGAGGCUCGAAAGCGUGGGUAGCAAACAGGAUUAGAUACCCUUGUAGUC
rnacentral:rRNA from 1 species